CUUUAUUAAUUUUUUCUUUUUUAUUUCAGACUACCAGUUUGUGAGCUGAUAUGCAGUGGAAAUUGACAUCCAGAAGGAAGUCAUAAAGGAAACACCAGCUGAUACAAGUGCUGCAGAGGAUCUUUGCAGAAUUCACUUUAAUAUUAGGAUGAGAUUUAAGAUCCGAGUUCAACGCUGCAUUGGACACACACUGCUCGUUUGAUUGAAAUUUUCAAAAAGAGGAGGAAAUUGCAGAAGAAAACUAGAUGAGAUUUUGAUGAGAACAAGUU